UGGACUACUGGGGUUUCUAAUCCUGUUUGCUACCCACGCUUUCGCACCUCAGCGUCAAUAUGUGUCCAGUGAGUCGCCUUCGCCACUGGUGUUCUUCCGAAUAUCUACGAAUUUCACCUCUACACUCGGAAUUCCACUCACCUCUCCACAAUUCUAGCGAUGCAGUCUUAAAGGCAAUUCCGGAGUUGAGCUCCGGGCUUUCACCUCUAACUUACAAAGCCGCCUACGUGCGCUUUACGCCCAGUAAUUCCGAACAACGCUAGCCCCCUCCGCAUUACCGCGGCGGCUGGCACC
rnacentral:misc_RNA from 1 species